rnacentral:lncRNA from 1 species
UUUUUUUUUUUUUUUUUUUUUUUUUUUAUCCAGUUCAAUGUGGUUUAGUAAUAUAUUUUAAAUUAAGGAAUCAGUCUCUGCCUGGGCCAUCCUGGUGUCCCUCUGGAAACCUGAAAACUUUAACUUCUAUGGGAUUUUCAGGGUGCAGAAGAGCAAGGAGAGGUGGAACUGGAGCCCUGGCAGAGAGUUCCAGAGUUCCACAUCUCCCUUGUGUAUUUAAGCUGGAAAUUUGUUCAGGUUUGAGGGAUUCUUCAGUGGCCUUUAGGUAAGGCUGGCCCCAAAUGGCUUCAUCAAGAAUGGAUUCUCCCUCCAAAAAAUACUGCUUAAAUGGCAAAAUAAAAGAUUGUAUUUUAAACAGCACAAUUUCAUAACCAAACAAUGCUAUUUUUAAAUAUUAAAUAAGCAAGAAAGAAGAUUUUGCACUAAAUCCCACCUAAAGUCCUGAAGAAGUUGCUGAAGCAAGGAGAUGGUUUAGCAGCUGAGGUAUAACCCUAAAAUCAGUUAGGGGAUUUUUUUGGGGCAUAUAUCAAGCAUCAAAUAUUGGAUCUGCCUCUAUGGUUUCUUCAGAAGAAUAAUGAAAACAGCCUGUUAAAAUUAGUAACCUUUGGGAGAGCUAUACUAAGAACUGAGCUGAAUUUAUUAGGCCCUGAUUUGGAGUUGUAGGUAUGAAGAGGAACCAUCACAGAUAGAUUUACACACUCUGGUCACUGGCUGGAAGCUUUUUAGUAGUAGUAGUCCUUAUGUAGUCCUUACACCUUCAGAGUAACCUCAGUGGGAAAGUGCAGAAGCUUGCUGGGAGGUAAAAACUGCUGCUGUAAACCUAUUUUCAUUGAUAUUUUUUUUUCCCUAAAAUGGUUAACACAAAAAAACACAAUUAGCCUUGAAUUAUCCUGGUUUUGUUGGAUAUUUAGCUUGAAGCAUUCACAUCAUCUGGCCUGCAGUGGCACUAUUUCACUUCAGCCACCAACUUCACCCCUUGGUAUCGCUCAGCAAGGAGGAAAGGGCAAAUCAGACAGCACCAGCUCAAAAAUAUGCUCAGAAUUUGGCAACCUGAUUGCUGCUGACCACCCAGAGGACAGGUGUGACACGUAUUUAUGGGCCUGAUUGUAAACCAAUAUCCGUCCAUUUCGUUUAUGAGCCCAUUACAUGUUUUUUUAUUUUGACAGUUCCACCGCAGUGUUCCCGCAGUCUUCUGGCUGUAAACUGUUCACAGGAGGAUGUGGAGUUUAUUAUUUGGUGUGUGGGCACUGAGCACCCCACAAGCUGAUCAACUAUGGACAAUUUAUUCAUUGGAUUUUAAGCCCAGUUAAAUCAACAGCUAAAAGGGAGCCUCGCUCACACUCCCUGGAACUGCAAACAUUUGAUGCUGUGAAAAAAGGGAGGAAAUUGUUAGGGAUUUUACAUUCCAACAUGACCCUCAUGCCUAAGAUUUUAUCUCUAUUCAGGAAUCCCGGUGCUCAGAGCUUGUUGUAAAUCUGACUAUCUGAGAUUUUUUUCCCCAAAGUUCUGAAAGGUGACUUCCCAAGGAGCUGGUAUUUCCCAGCUAUCCAGCCAGACAGGCAGAGAUGGACUGUGCAGAAAGAGAGAAAAUGAAUGGAAAAUAAAAACCCUAAACACAGGAGCCUUGAAAACUUGCAGAUGUGCACAAACAAUCCAAGAAUGCAGGUGAGCAGACAUGUGGGUGUUUGUGUAUCCAUAUAUCCACGUAUAUACUUCCAAGAAGAUGAUUUUAGCCAAUUCCAUGAAUUCAGGGCCAGGAUAUGAAAUGCCCUGAACAUUACUUAGCCACGUUGAUCUAGAAAGCUUCAAUCCUUUCAGGUUACAUUUUUUAUGUCAUUGUUGCUAUUGGAAUCUGGUUCCAAAUCUCCUUUUUAAUGGAUUUUCCUCCCCUGUUUAUUGACAAUAUAUUUAUUUUAAGGAGCGUAGUAUAUGAUCACAAACAAUUUGUCCCUCAACAUGAACAGCCACAGGAUUGUGGGGUUGUGACCUCCUUAGCCAGUCUCUGCCAUCCUCUCCAUCAAACAUAUUUGGUAUCAAUCUAAGUUCCAAAUUAAGAGCAAUUUCUUGUUCUCUCUCUGAUGUUAUUUGUCGAGAGCAAAGUGUUCCCUUUAUUUUUCAACAUAACCUUUUAUAAUGCAAAAAUAUUGUCAUUUUCCUUCCACUCUUCCAUUCAGAAUGAUCCUAAUCUACUCUUUCCUGGGUGAGUCUGGCUUCCUAGACCUCUGGUUCUCUUUGCACAUCCACAUGUAAUGACUCCUUGGAUGAAGUGACCAAAAAUGGCAGUUCCCAAAGUUCCUGGUGAAAGAAAUUUGGUCUUUUGUAAAAUUGCUAAAAACCUUGGAAUUUGAAAAAGAAAACCAGAAAUUUCCCUCUUCAACAAAAUUAUAUCAGAGAAGGAAUCAGGGAACUCCUGCAUGUAAAGUAGCCAUGAUAUUUGAUUUCUGAUGCAAAUUUCCAGAAGGACUCCUGGAAAUUGGUGGGAAAGAGGGAGAGCAGUUCUCUUCCAGAGGUCACUUGGAGCUGGAGGCUGAGGAGGACACUCAGCUCAUUUUGGCUCUCACCAUUUCAUAAUUUUAACGUAAGAAAAAUUACAUCCUAAGUGCCUGCUAAUGAGUUAAUGCACCACACACUGGAAACCCAAGAACUGCAGUGUUUGGUGUUAGGAGAGAGCCACAAGUUCAGGCCCCAAACCUCUUUGGCCAUUUUUAGAGGUGCAUUAAUCCACAACUUCCUUUAGGGAUAAGUGAAAUGGGAGUGAGUCAGCUCAUCUUGAACUUCCCAGUGAGCCCAUUUUGGAUGAAAGGUCACCUUCUGUCCUUGGGAGCAAAACAAAAUUGGGGCAAGAGUUGCAAGAGCAGAGCAGACAAUCAUUGCCAUUAUCCUCUCCGUGGCUGGUGAACUCCUUUUUCCAUGAGAUUAAAAUGACUUCAUCUCACUAACUCUUAUCAAUCAGUUCUGUCUCCAUGUCCUAACUGUCCUCGAAGAGGAAAAAUCCUGGAAUCACAGAAUGGUUUGAGUUGGAAGGGACCUUAAAGCCCAUCCAGUGCCACCCUUGCCAUGGGCAGGCACACCUUCAGUGUCUCAGGCUGCUCCAAGCCCCACUGUCCAACCUGGCCUUGGGCACUGCCAGGGAUCCAGGGGCAGCCACAGCUGCUCUGGGAAACUGUGCUAGAGCCUCACCACCCUCACAGCCAGGAAUUCCUUCCCAAAUCCCAUCUAACCCCGCUCUCCUGAAGCCAUUCCCUGUGUCCUGUCCAUCCAUCCCUUCUCCAAAGUCUCUCUCCAUCCUUCCUCCAGCUCCUCCAGGCCACAGUGAGGUCACCCCAAAGCUUCUCCUCUCCAGGCUGGACAACCCCAUCUCUCCCAGCCUUUCCUCCCAGCAGAGCUGCUCCAUCCCUGGGAUCAUCCUGGAGCCUCCUCUGAACCAUGCCAGGGAUCUUUGGAAAAGGAGGAGAGGGGGAAAUGGAGAAGGAACAGCAGUAAACAGAAAAUUCUGGCGCCGCUGGACUGAAGGGAAGUGGCAUCACUGAAAUCACUAAAAGUAGGCUCGAGUCUGAUCUGAAAAGCAAUUUAGAAUAUGAGCUUUUCUUUCCAAAUGAGCAGCAAGUGCCUUCCUUCACCCAGAAUUUGGUGCUUUCUAUUACAUUUUGAAUUGAUUGGCUUUAUGGCCCAGUGCUGGGGAAUUGCCCUAGCAUGAUCUCGUCUGGCUCAUGUUUCUAAUUCUGGCAACUCUAAAUCCAGAUGCCCUGAAAAUCCAGGCUGUUGCUUACAGCACAUACUGGAGGUUAAUCUCCAUUUCUGUGUACCCAGGCAAAAUCCAGGAAUUGGGAUGUAUGGAAGAUUAGCCCACAAGGUGAAAAGGAAAGGAAGCCAAGGAAGAAAAUGCAAUAGAAAAUGUCCACAUGCAGAGUGUGGAGGUGUCAAAAUAAACCCUAACCAUUAUUCCACAACAAGAAUUCAAGCAGGUUUUCUGCAUUAUCUAGGAUUUUUCUAAUGGGAACAGUGAAAUUGCCAUCUGAAGGUGUGUCCUGCCACCAGGGUCUGUGGGCAAUGGAUGGAGAGAUUCAGAAAACAGAGUUCCAAGUCCAUGCUCUUCCUCUCUGUGGUCCAUGUUCAGCCUCCUUUAGGACAUUAAAACCUCCACUUCGGCUGCCAGGUGACAAGAGGCCUCUCUACUGAAUAAAAAGGGUUGAAAAGGCUGCAGCACGUUGUGGUGAUGGAGGAAAAGAGGUUGUGGACAGGUGGAGGUCAGACUCUUCUCUCACAUACCAGCUGAUAAAUAGGAAAAAACAGCUUUUCUUUGUGCCAGGAGAGGUUUACAUUGGGUAUUACGGAAAAAUUCUUCACCAAAAGGGUUGUCAAGCGCUGGAAGAGGCUGCUCAGAGGAGUGGUGGGAUCACCAUUCCUGGAGCUGAUUUGAAAACACCUGGAUAUCCAUUAGGGACGUGGUUUGGUGCUGGGUUAAUGGUUGGGCUGGAUGAUCUCAGGGAUCCUUUCCAAGUUAAGAGGUUCCACGAUUCUGGGAUGUGGCUGCAGGAGGGGGGGAAGGGCUGGAGGAGCCCUCUCAGGGCUGGAGGGUGGCUCAGAACUCUCAGCUUGGGUGGGAACACAUCACCCUGGGGGCAUUAUUUUGCCUUGGAUCCCUGCACGAAAUUCCAGCUGCUGCCAGAGGAAUCUGUGCAUUCCCACCCAGGGCUCUGAUCAUCCCAGGAAAGGUUGAGGAGAAGCUCAUGUAGCUCAUAUAUAAGUGGAGUAUGGAGUUGUUUUGGUUUUGUUUUUUUGUUUUUUGGUUUUUUUUUUAUACUGGCUAUAAUAAAUAUCAACACAUUUAGAAAAAAAGAAAAUUGGGCUUAAAGGGAGGAAAAAAGCUACAGCUGAGUGUGGUUCACUAGAAGGAAAUACCCAAGGCUGUUGAAACAUUAGAUAAAAAACUGAUCUUGUAACGUCAGGAAUCAGUGAGGAUAACAACUGUCAAUUUUGUCCAAUAAAACCUCCCUUUUAUUUUGCCUACUUUGCUCUUUUAUUUUUAAUAGCUAUCCAUUAAAAAUAUGGCACCCACAAUUUGCUGGUAUUUGCUGUUCUGUUUUAAUGCUGUCUAUUAGUUCUUCCCUCUCCUUUUAAUAUUUACACAUAUCAUCAAAUGCUGG